rnacentral:rRNA from 1 species
UACGAAGGGGGCUAGCGUUGCUCGGAAUCACUGGGCGUAAAGGGUGCGUAGGCGGGUCUUUAAGUCAGGGGUGAAAUCCUGGAGCUCAACUCCAGAACUGCCUUUGAUACUGGCGAUCUUGAGUCCGGGAGAGGUGAGUGGAACUGCGAGUGUAGAGGUGAAAUUCGUAGAUAUUCGCAAGAACACCAGUGGCGAAGGCGGCUCACUGGCCCAUAACUGACGCUGAGGCACGAAAGCGUGGGGAGCAAACAGG